AUGAACAAGGCGGCGUCGCUUCCUGACGAGAUGAUCAUAGAGGUGCUGCAGUGGCUCCCCAUCAAAUUCGUCCUCCGCUUCCGGGCCGUCUGCCGCUCCUGGGACGCGCUACUUGUCAUGACCCAAGGAGAAGGAGUCCACCUCCUCCGCAGCCUCCACCUGGCCGCACGGCGGGAACCACUGAAACUGCUCUACAUCUCACCUACUGCCAGAUUUCUCUCCACCGCGGUGUAUGCUCGCUCCUUCACGCCGUCAUCAUUAGGGGGCAGCACCGGAGAUCGGGGGCACCUAUUGUUCACCAUUGACGGCGCCCGUGGCAACUGUGUGGAGGUAGUGACGCCGGUACCGUGCCGCGGCCUCACCCUUCUCUACGAUGCUCUCGCAAUGGCUUACUGCAUCUGCAACCCGGCCACACGGGCAACCACGCGUCUGCCACCUUCAACUGACAUAGCAUCAAGGUCCACUACUGGGCUGGGGUUUGAUGCCCGCACCAAGGAGCACAAGGUGGUGAGUCUGAUCAACGGGAUGUGCCAUGACAAGGUCGGGGUUAGGUGCGAGGUGUACACGCCCGGAGGUUGCUAUGGCGAUCGCUGGAGGCAUGUCGCUGGUGGAGUGCCCUCCAGCUUACGCCAAUUAGUAAGUUCCGCUGUUACCAAUGCAUCACUGAACAAAUUACCACCUGUGUUCGCAAACGGUUGCCUGCACUGGUUGAUGGAUCCUACAACACCAACAGUUGCCAUCAUAUGCUUUUCGAUCACAGAGGAAACCUUCACAUGCGCCCGGGCACCGCCCUUCUCGGUACCAUUACCAGCACCACGCCCGACUUCCAGGCCCUGUUCAUCAGGAGAGCACCUAACGGAGAUGCAUGGCCAACUGUAUAUGGUCCGAGACCUUCGCAACCGAGUCCCUCAUGCUUGCUCUUUGGAGAUUUGGAAACUGCUGGAUUAUGGCUCAGGCGGAUGGUCACUGCAUCAUCAAAUCAAUUUCUCCGAUCUGCUGGGAAGAGAUUUACGUGAGCCACAAAUUAGAGUUAUUGGGUCUUUUGGAGAUUGCAGGUCAUCAAGGAAGAAGAUAAUCAUCGCUACCAGUAAGCACAAGAUUGACAACAAGUAUGAGAAGAAGGUUCACACCUAUGACCCUAGGUCUGAAACUCUAGAGACCAUUCUUUCAGUCAUUGAGACACACUCAUCUCCUCGAUACGAGCGCCCUAGUUCAAGAUUCAGUUUAUUUGAAGAGACCUUAUCUCCAGUACAUAAAACAGAUGAAGAGAUAGCCUUGUCAUCCACCCAGGCUAAGGCGACUAGAGAGAUCCUACUCCGCCUCCCAGCUAAAUCAGCAAUACACUCUAAAUUGGUCUGCAAGCAGUGGCUCAGAUUGAUUGAGAAUGAAAACUUUACUGAGUCAUACUUUAAACAUAAGAACAUCGACAGAAGGCCCAAGGUCAUGCUUGUGGGCAAGGGCACUGGACAAUUGGGCUUCAGUUUUGCUCCUUUGAAUAUAUGUCUCCGAGGAACUCCUAGCCACAGUAGAUUGCUGGAUACGAAGGUGGUUUGCUCUAAGCCUUGCCAUGGGCUGAACCUGGUAAGCACCGAGACAAAGGACUAUAUCUGCAACCCAUGUACAGGUUUUUUCUGGUGCUACUCUACCUUGAGGCCAACUUUGGGCCUACACUGGAGGAUGCCUCAAGCAGAAGAGCAUGCUUUUAUCGUCGGCAACAAGAAUGUUGGCUUGACUUUUGACCCCUCGACUCGUGAACAUGUUAUUGUGCAAAUCAUCUAUCACCAAAAGGACUUCAAAUCUCGUCAGUAUCACUUGACAUGCGUGCUACGGUGGUGUGGCUCCCGGAAUCCUGCCCUUCAGAACUGGGUACCACCUCUGCCCGUGAAUGAUAUGCCACCUGCCUACCUUGAUGGAGUGCUGUACUGGAUGAGUGAACCAAGGUUGGGACAGAGCUGGGAAUGGGCCGUUGUCUCUUUCGACAUCACUACAAAAACGUUUCAGGUUGUCCCUUGUCCUUCAUGGUUUGCGAGAUGGCAUAGCAGAAACCAUUGCAGUGCGUUUGUGGUUGAGCUCGCGGGAGUGUUGUGUGCUGUUCUAGCAGACCCGGCAGAAGACACUCUAGAUGUGUGGAAGCUAGAGCAUGGCCAAUGGAGCACAGCAUGCAUAAUUCACUUGAAAGCAUGUCCUGGCUAUUCCCUGGAGACAAAUGUUGUGGUGCCAUUAGCUAUUGACCCCGAUGAUGGGAGGAUCAUGCUGAACACCGGGAGGAAAAUCGGUCUAUAUGAUCCAGUGGAGCAAACAAUUGAAACUUUACAUUCACUUGACCAGGUACCGAUUGUUAGCAAUAGACCCAAUAUGCUUUCAACUUCAAAAAAAAAAAAUGAAACUCCAUGGGCACUAGCACCCACGGUUUUAUUGAUAUAG
rnacentral:rRNA from 1 species